rnacentral:rRNA from 1 species
AAUCGAAGCAGUGAACUUAAGCCCCAGUAAACGGCGGCCGUAACUAUAACGGUCCUAAGGUAGCGAAAUUCCUUGUCGGGUAAGUUCCGACCCGCACGAAAGGCGUAACGAUUUGGGCACUGUCUCAACAACAGACUCGGUGAAAUUGUAAUUCCGGUGAAGAUGCCGGAUACCUGCGACAGGACGGAAAGACCCCAUGGAGCUUUACUGUAGCUUGACAUUGGGUCUUGGUACUACAUGUACAGGAUAGGUGGGAGGCUUUGAAACCAGGACGCCAGUUUUGGCGGAGCCAUCCUUGGGAUACCACCCUUGUAGUACUGGGACUCUAACCAUAGGCCAUGAAUCUGGUCUUGGGACACUGUCAGGUGGGCAGUUUGACUGGGGCGGUCGCCUCCCAAAAGGUAACGGAGGCGCUCAAAGGUUCUCUCAGUACGGUCGGAAAUCGUACGUAGAGUGUAAAGGCAAAAGAGAGCUUGAUUGCAAGACAUACAGGUCGAGCAAGGAUGAAAAUCGGACUUAGUGAUCCGGUGGUUCUGCGUGGAAGGGCCAUCG